AAUCUUGCUAAGAUUAGUUUUAGAAAAAAAUUAGAAUUAUUAACUUUGAAUCAUUAGUCAAUUUUUAGUGAAUUUUUAAGUAGAAAGGAUCUACCGCCAAAGCAGCCCAAGUGGCUCUACUUAGAAAAAACCAUAUCUCAAGCAUUUCGGAUCGGAUUGCCACAAUAUUGAAAAAAUAGGAGCAUGUUGUAGUUUAUCUUAAUCACAUUAAAUUUCACAUACAUUAGAAUUUCAAGGAAUUUUUGGUGAAUUUUUGAGUGGCAAAGGUGGUU
rnacentral:lncRNA from 1 species